rnacentral:rRNA from 1 species
UACACGUGGACAACCUACCCUGAAGAGGGGGAUAAUCCCGGGAAACUGGGGAUAAUACCCCAUAGACUAUGGAUGCUGGAAUGCUCUGUAGUUGAAAGGUCCGCCGCUUCAGGAUGGGUCUGCGGCCGAUUAGGUUGUUGUUGGGGUAACGGCCCAACAAGCCUGUAAUCGGUACGGGUUGUGGGAGCAAGAGCCCGGAGAUGGAUUCUGAGACACGAAUCCAGGCCCUACGGGGCGCAGCAGGCGCGAAAACUUUGCAAUGCGAGCAAUCGUGACAAGGGAACUCCGAGUGCCUGUAAAAUCAGGCUGUCCGCCAGUUUAAAUAACUGGCGAAGAAAGGGCCGGGCAAGACCGGUGCCAGCCGCCGCGGUAAUACCGGCGGCUCGAGUGGUGGCCACUAUUACUGGGCUCAAAGCGUUCGUAGCUGGCUUGUUAAGUCUCUGGGGAAAUCUUCCGGCUUAACCGGAAGGCGUCUCAGGGAUACUGGCAGGCUAGGGACCGGAAGAGGUGAGAGGUACUCCAGGGGUAGGAGUGAAAUCCUGUAAUCCUUGGGGGACCACCUGUGGCGAAGGCGUCUCACCAGGACGGCUCCGACAGUGAGGAACGAAAGCUGGGGGAGCAAACCGGAUUAGAUACCCGGGUAGUCCCAGCUGUAAACGAUGCGCGUUAGGUGUAUCGGUGACCACGAGUCACCGAGGUGCCGAAGAGAAAUCGUGAAACGCGCCGCCUGGGAAGUA